ensembl:lncRNA
AUGAGCCAUGCAUACCGUGUGAAGAGUGCUGCUCGGGACGGGGUCUUUAGUUUUAAGGGUAUCAGGAUGGAGAACACCGGUGGCUUUAGAAGGAGAGAGGCAGGCGCCCACAUCCCACACUGGAGCGCCUGGUUCUCGUCCCAGCUGCUCCGCGCACACAGGGGACCUCGGGGACGAGGACAUGGUCACACAGAGGGGACCUCGGGGACAAGGACACGGACACAGAGGGGACCUCGGGGGACGAGGACACAGUCACAGAGGGGACCUCAGGGGCUAGGACACGGUCACACAGGGGACCUCAGGGAAGAGGACACGGUCACACAGAGGGGACCUCAGGGAAGAGGACACGGUCACACAGAGGGGACCUCGGGGAAGAGGACACGGUCACACAGAGGGGACCUCGGGGACAAGGACACGGACACAGAGGGGACCUCAGGGAAGAGGACACGGUCACACAGAGGGGACCUCAGGGAAGAGGACACGGUCACACAGAGGGGACCUCAGGGAAGAGGACACGGUCACACAGGGGACCUCGGGGACAAGGACACGGACACAGAGGGGACCUCAGGGAAGAGGACACGGUCACACAGAGGGGACCUCGGGGAUGAGGACACGGACACAGAGGGGACCUCAGGGAAGAGGACAUGGUCACACAGAGGGGACCUCGGGGAUGAGGACACGGUCACACAGGGGACCUCAGGGGAUGAGGACACGGUAAGAGAGGGGACCUCAGGGGACGAGGACACGGUCACACAGGGGACCUCAGGGGAUGAGGACACGGUAAGAGAGGGGACCUCGGGGACAAGGACACGGACACACAGAGGGGACCUCGGGGACAAGGACACGGUCACACAGGGGACCUCGGGGAAGAGGACACGGUCACACAGAGGGGACCUCGGGGACGAGGACACGGUCACACAGGGGACCUCAGGGGUGAGGAUGGUCACAUAGGCUGGGAAGGCACGGGUCAAGGAUGCUUCGUGCACUGCACCUGUCAGAACGCCUGAAGCCCAGAACAGAGACAGGAGCUCAGGCGGACCGUGGUGGUAAGGAGAUGGUGCAGCUCCCCCCAGAGCUGAGCAGACUCUACCGGGAGGAUCCGGCAUCCACACUCAGUGCUCACCAAAGGAGGCGAGAGCCUGUGCCCACCAAAGCCUGCUUCCUUCUACUCGUCAAGGCAUGGCAGCAAGCCCACAUCCUAGAUGAACCCACAACGCGGUAUCAACCAGAGCCAGGAAGGGAGGAGGGGCCUCCCGGAACCACAGGGGAGGGGGGUACACAGGGGACUGUCCGCUGCAGCCGCUCUGUCCAAGCCCCAGAGGGAUCCUCGGGCGAGCUGUGGACUCUGGCGACAGCGGUGGUCAGUGUGGUCUGUCAAUUUUUCCUGAAGGCUUAUUUAUUUCAAAGGCAGAGUGACAGAGACACACACGCACUGCCAGAACACUGUGGAACUCCACGCUAUGCCGGCCUGCGGCCACCACACCCCAGGGUCUCCCUGGCGAAGACUCAGUUCAUCUGUUAAGAUUUAUUUAUUUCAAAGGCAGAGUGACAGAGGGAGAAGCAAAGACACAGAGAGGGAGCGAUCCACCUUCCACCUGCUGCCUCACCCCCAAAUGGCUCCAAGGCUGGGGAGCCUGCAGCUCCAUCCAGGUCCCCCACGCUUGGGGGCAGGGGUCCACACACUCAGGCCAGUUGCCUCAGCAGUGGGGACUCGAACCGGGCCCACAGGGGAUGCUGGUGUCAGACGCCCGGAGAUCCGGGUUAAAUCAGAGGCUGGCUCAGCGGGAGGCCGCUGCCCUCGGCAGGAGGCCCGGUCAGAGAACCCAAGGAUCAAACACCAGGCCCUCUGGCUGUACCCAACCUGCCCGGACUCGACGGCGGACACAGAGGGGCCCUGGGGCCGCGACCCCACCGUGCCACUCACCCAGUGACAGAGACAGAGGCUGCCUGC